UAAAAAGCUCGUAGUUGGAUUUCUGUUGAGGACACCUGGUCCGCUCUACGAGCGUGCAUCUAGGUUGGCCUCGGCAUCCGCUCUGCAAACGUGUCUGCGCUUGAUUGCGUGGCGCGGAGGUAGGGCCUUUUACUUUGAGGAAAUUAGAGUGUUCACGGCAGGCUUUCGCCUUGAAUAUAUUAGCAUGGAAUAAUAACAUAGGAUCUUGGUUCUAUUUUGUUGGUUUCUAGGGCUAAGAUAAUGAUUAAUAGGGACAAUUGGGGGCAUUCGUAUUGCGGUGUCAGAGGUGGAAUUCUUGGAUUACUGCACGACGAACUACUGCGAAAGCAUUUGCCAAGGAUGUUUUCAUUGAUCAAGAACGAAAGUAAGGGGAUCGAAGACGAUUAGAUACCGUCGUAGUCUUUACCAUAAACUAUGCCACUAGAGAUGGGGCGUCGUUCUCACAUGACCCGCU
rnacentral:rRNA from 1 species